rnacentral:rRNA from 1 species
UGGGGAAUAUUGCACAAUGGGCGCAAGCCUGAUGCAGCCAUGCCGCGUGUGUGAAGAAGGCCUUCGGGUUGUAAAGCACUUUCAGCGAGGAGGAAGGUGGUGAGCUUAAUACGCUCAUCAAUUGACGUUACUCGCAGAAGAAGCACCGGCUAACUCCGUGCCAGCAGCCGCGGUAAUACGGAGGGUGCAAGCGUUAAUCGGAAUUACUGGGCGUAAAGCGCACGCAGGCGGUUUGUUAAGUCAGGUGUGAAAUCCCCGGGCUCAACCUGGGAACUGCAUUUGAAACUGGCAAGCUAGAGUCUCGUAGAGGGGGGUAGAAUUCCAGGUGUAGCGGUGAAAUGCGUAGAGAUCUGGAGGAAUACCGGUGGCGAAGGCGGCCCCCCUGGACGAAGACUGACGCUCAGGUGCGAAAGCGUGGGGCAGCAAACAGGAUUAGAUACCCUGGUAGUCCAGCGCUGUAAACGAUGUCGAUUUGGAGGUUGUGCCCCUUGAGGCGUGGCUUCCGGAGCUAACGCGUUAAAUCGACCGCCU